AUAAAAAGAACUGGUGUGCAGGAAAGGCAGACCCAGGUUGCUCAAACUCCAAACAUUCCCAAGAAAAGCAUGUCUUCAGGACUGGCCCUUGGCUGGCUCCUAGGAAAUGAACUCUGAACCCUAGGAAUAUUAUGCCUGGUUACUGCUUGCCUUCCUUGUUUCACUGAAUUGGUAUGUCUGACCUAAUGAAGACUUUUUAGAUUAUUUAGAAACUACUACGUUUUCUGCAGUCUUACCUGUUUCAGAGCGUGGUGGAGAAUCCAAACAUUCAAAAACAUGCCAUCGAGGUGUCUGCCCUAUCAAUGAGGAAAAAGGCAUCUGGCAAUUUGGACAGUAUCCAUCAUAAACUGGACGUAUCUUUGGGGACACGUGUUGGCUUUUUUGAGUUCUACAGAGUUUUCCUGGAGUAGUUUCCUUGUCUUGGGUCUGCUGAAUACCAUCUCCACAACUUGAAUUCUGACUAGAAGCAACAGAAGUCUGACAACCUGCAUUUCCAAGGGGCACUUCAUGGUCCUUCACCUCUUUAGCUUCUGCGGCUCUUUUUCUGUUUCUACUCCGUUUUGACUGGUAUUUUCCAUCUGUUGCUUUUUCAACAGAUUUUAGAAUAUUUUUAGAGCCAUUAUUUGGAUCAACUCGUUUUGGUUUUCUUUUAGAUUUGUAUUCCCAAAUGUCUUCUUCGGAAAUGUCUUCUAACAUGGCAAAAUGAUUUUAUCAUUCAAGAAGUAUUAAUCUUAAGUAAACUGAAAGUCCAUUUCUUGUCACAAACAAAAAGUUAUAGAAUUAUUUUGCUGAGAAAAAAAACAAAGGUAACAAAACCCCCACCAACUCAAUGGGAAUCUGCAGUGUUGGUAAUGAACAUAUUGGCAAGCUACAAACCUUGUACCUGACAACACCUGCUAUUCCAUUUAUACCACAAUGAAACUAAGAUAAACCUAUCACAGGAGUAGCAACUGUGAAGUUCUCCAUUAUGGGUGCUAUUUCAUUCAAAUAUCUUGUCCUUUUCCAGGGCUUGAUUCAUAAAAAUAAUACUUCAAAAAUUAAGCGCUAAUGGCAAAUAUAGGUUCAACAGCUUAAUCUUAGAACGAGAUUUGUAACAUUGUUAUGAAGCUACUGUCAGUUCUUUCAAGUGGACAACCGUCCAAAUAAUUCAUAAAUCCAACCACAGUCCCUGGACAAAGGGCUUAACAGGUAUCCCAAACACUAAAUGACUAUCUAACAAAACUAGUCACAACAUAAUCAAAGAGAUGUGUAAUUCGCAAAAAACUGCGAAGUCACUGCCCUCAUCCACGACUAGUGGAUACUCAACCACUUCAGUUUCCCGCGACAGUCCAUGAUCUUCCUCCAGCAGCAAUGAACAAUCCCUGCACAGUGAACAAAAAAAGUUGAUAUGUGAAAAAAGUUCAAAUAUGUGAAAGAGUGGGCUUGUAUUGAGGUCUGACUCCGUAUUGCACCCAUGGUUCCGAAGGUGGCCAGCCCUCUGUCCACCUGACUCAAAACGGGGUCACACGCCAGCCUCUCCCUUAUCUUUUGGCAUUAGAGGCUGGGAGGCCAGGAAGCGGGGCCUUAAUCAUCUCCAGGUUAAGCAUAGCGAGCUCCAAAAAGCCCUCAGAGUCCUGCCCUUCUGAAGACUCUAAGGCCCGCCCUCAAGGACCCUCACCGCCCCCCACCUGCCACUCGGCACCCCAAGGGAGCCGCUCCAGCUGCAUCCGCUCCUCCCGGCACCCCCAUCUAAAAAUGUGUUCGCGCCCGCACUUUCAGCACUCCCAGAUGACAAAACGCUGUGUUUGUGUAUAAGUGAAAGCCACUCGCGCCAGUCACUUCCAGUUUACAAAGCCUUCUCUCUGGAGGUUAUCCCUACCCGCUUUACCUUUAGGGUCUUGGCGGGAACAAGUUCCCGCUGCCAGUGCCGUGUCGAAUCGGCGGAUGCUGUUCAAAGAGAGAGACUUUAAAAAUAAUUUUUAAAAAUACAUUGCCCUUUUAAGUCCUA
ensembl:lncRNA novel transcript, antisense to DCLRE1A